rnacentral:misc_RNA from 1 species
AAGUCGUAACAAGGUUUCCGUAGGUGAACCUGCGGAAGGAUCAUUAUAACGUAUCCACGUAUAAACAAACGCGAACGUCCCGUUAGAGGCAAAAACCAGGCAGCUGGUAUGAAGUUAGUCGGCCGAACUGUAAAAUAUGUGCUUCGUCGAUGGAGUUGCUUUACUGGCAGCCAGUUAGCAACUGAAGCACGAGUUCUGGCCCGGUCAAUCCGGACUUCGUUUGCCUCUAACGUGUAUCAACCAUCGGUCCUUAUGUACCUUUUAUAAACCCUUUAAACUUUGAACUGAACUUGUAACUACUGCGGUUGUCCUUGUUGGCUUCGGUCACGGGCAGCGUUAACGCAGUCUUUACUAUCUUACGAAAUAUAAGAACAACUCUUAACAACGGAUAUCUUGGUUCUC